rnacentral:misc_RNA from 1 species
UGAGCAAUUUCUUUUUCUCUUUUAGCAAAGGGAGAGCCCAAUCUGCAAGGUUCUGCUCUCGGGUUGGUCGUGAUUUGUCUAAAGAUUUUCUGCCUGUGAGAAGCUCAAGAAGAACAACACCAAAGCUGUAUACAUCACUUCUAGGAGUAAGAUGGCCUGUCAUUAUAUAUUCAGGUGCUGCAUACCCAUAAGUUCCCAUUAUGCGUGUUGAAACAUGAGUCUUGUCUCCCAUAGGUCCAUCUUUUGCAAGACCAAAAUCAGAGAGCUUUGCAUUAUAUUCCAGGUCAAGUAGAAUAUUAGACGUCUUAAAAUCACGAUAGAUAACAGGUUUAUCAGCUUCAUGGAGAAAGGCAAGUCCUUUUGCUGCACCAAAUGCAAUCUUCAUUCUAAUGUACCAUGGAAGAGGAAGCAAUACUCUUGAAAAUAGAUUGUUUUCC